rnacentral:rRNA from 1 species
GACGAACGCUGGCGGCGUGCUUAACACAUGCAAGUUGAACGGAAAGGCCCUGCUUUUGUGGGGUGCUCGAGUGGCGAACGGGUGAGUAACACGUGAGUAACCUGCCCUUGACUUUGGGAUAACUUCAGGAAACUGGGGCUAAUACCGGAUAGGAGCUCCUGCUGCAUGGUGGGGGUUGGAAAGUUUCGGCGGUUGGGGAUGGACUCGCGGCUUAUCAGCUUGUUGGUGGGGUAGUGGCUUACCAAGGCUUUGACGGGUAGCCGGCCUGAGAGGGUGACCGGCCACAUUGGGACUGAGAUACGGCCCAGACUCCUACGGGAGGCAGCAGUGGGGAAUAUUGCACAAUGGGCGGAAGCCUGAUGCAGCAACGCCGCGUGCGGGAUGACGGCCUUCGGGUUGUAAACCGCUUUCGCCUGUGACGAAGCGUGAGUGACGGUAAUGGGUAAAGAAGCACCGGCUAACUACG